UACAGAGGAGCCAAGCGUUGUCCGGAUUGACUGGGCGUAAAGCGCACGCAGGCGGGUGCGCGCGUGGGGUGUGAAAUCUGGCCGCUUAACGGCCAGGCGCCAUCCCAUACGGCGCGCCUGGAGCCUUGCAGAGGUCGGUGGAAUUGCCGGUGUAGUGGUGAAAUGCGUAGAGAUCGGCAGGAACACCCAGGGGGAAACCAGCCGACUGGGCAAGUGCUGACGCUGAG
rnacentral:rRNA from 1 species